rnacentral:rRNA from 1 species
UGAAAGAGCAAUGAAAUAAGUCAUUUAAGCAUAAAAAAGCAGAGACUAAAACUCGUACCUUUUGCAUCAUGAUUUAGCAAGUAUACAACAGGCAAAGAGACCUUUAGUUUGUUACCCCGAAACCAAGUGAGCUACCCCGGGACAGCCUAAAAGGGCCAACCCGUCUCUGUGGCAAAAGAGUGGGAAGAGCCCCGGGUAGAGGUGACAGACCUACCGAACUUGGUGAUAGCUGGUUGUCUAAGAAAUGAAUAGAAGUUCAGCCUCGUGCCCCUUUAAUCAAUUAAGUAAUAUCUAAUAUAGAAAUAAGAGAAACAUGAGAGUUAACUGAAGGGGGUACAGCCCCUUCAAUUAAGGAUACAACUUUUUCAGGAGGAUAGGGAUUAUAAUUAUAAAAAUUUAUUGUUUCAGUGGGCCUAAAAGCAGCCAUCUGCAC